rnacentral:snRNA from 1 species
AUGCUUGCUUCAGCAGCACAUAUACUAAAAUUGGAAUGAUACAGAGAUUAGCAUGACCCCUGAGCAAGGAUGAUAUGCAAAUUCAUGAAGCGUUCCAUAAAAAA